UACCUGGUUGAUCCUGCCAGUAGUCAUAUGCUUGUCUCAAAGAUUAAGCCAUGCAAGUCUAAGUACGAGCUCUCGUACAGUGAAACUGCGAAUGGCUCAUUAAAUCAGUUAUGGUUCAUUUGAUCGUACAGUUUACUUGGAUAACUGUGGUAAUUCUAGAGCUAAUACAUGCGAGAAGCGCCGACCUCGCGGGAGGCGUGCAUUUAUCAGACCAAAAACCGGCCGCGUCUUCGGGCGCGUUCGCCUUGGUGACUCUGGAAACUUUGCGGAUCGCACGGUCUAGCACCGGCGACGGAUCAUUCAAGUGUCUGCCCUAUCAACUUUCGUCGGUACGGUAUUUGCCUACCGAGGUUCUUACGGGUGAC
rnacentral:ncRNA from 1 species